rnacentral:rRNA from 1 species
ACGGCAGCAUAGGUGCUUGCACCUGAUGGCGAGUGGCGAACGGGUGAGUAAUGCAUCGGAACGUGCCCAAUCGUGGGGGAUAACGCAGCGAAAGCUGUGCUAAUACCGCAUACGAUCUACGGAUGAAAGCGGGGGACCUUCGGGCCUCGCGCGAUUGGAGCGGCCGAUGUUAGAUUAGGUAGUUGGUGGGGUAAAGGCUCACCAAGCCGACGAUCUAUAGCUGGUCUGAGAGGACGACCAGCCACACUGGAACUGAGACACGGUCCAGACUCCUACGGGAGGCAGCAGUGGGGAAUUUUGGACAAUGGGCGAAAGCCUGAUCCAGCAAUACCGCGUGCAGGAAGAAGGCCUUCGGGUUGUAAACUGCUUUUGUACGGAACGAAAAGGUCUGCCUUAAUACGGUGGGCUCAUGACGGUACCGUAAGAAUAAGCACCGGCUAACUACGUGCCAGCAGCCGCGGUAAUACGUAGGGUGCGAGCGUUAAUCGGAAUUACUGGGCGUAAAGCGUGCGCAGGCGGCUUUGUAAGACAGACGUGAAAUCCCCGGGCUCAACCUGGGAAUUGCGUUUGUGACUGCAAGGCUAGAGUACGGUAGAGGGGGGUAGAAUUCCGCGUGUAGCAGUGAAAUGCGUA